GGCCCAGGUUCUGCUCCCUGACACGCAGAGGCCCUGCGUCCCCACACGCCUUGGUUCUCGUCAGGAGGCGCGUUUCUGCCUUCGCCAGGGGAAGGAGGCGAUUGUGAUGCCCACGCGAAGGGUAAAGGUGGCGGUUAUGUAGGACUGCGAAGACUAUGCAAAAUGCGAUACGGUUUCCCUCACAGCCACGCCGCUGGGCAGGGGAGGGCCCAGGCCCCCUGAGUCGCGAAGGCGCGGCCUGACAGCGAUUCCAAGCUUCCUUUCCGUUCUGGGCGGUGGGGCCAGUGUGAGCCAGGUAGGAGAUGACGGUGAUAGUCUAGGAGGUGAUGAUUAGUAGGCGAGGCAAGUGGAAGAAGGUAGGUGAUGACAGACCUGAUGUUAGGAGGGACCUUGGGGAGGCCAGUCUGGCCAUUGAAAGUGACGGAAAACACUUUGAGAUGGAGGAAGGGGAAGAGAGGGAAUGAGUGGAAUGGGAAAGUGCUGGGAUGGCUGGGGAUCUGGAGGACACGCACAACAUCCGCGUAUGGCAGCCAAAUGGGGUGGAGUUAGGGCUUGCCAUAAAACUUGCCUUAAAUGCAAAAAUGCAGCUCAAUCCAUGACUGAGCAAGACUGGUAGGUCAGAAUCAUGCACAGGCUUAAAUCACACAGGAACAGAGCCUUCCCCAUUUUCAGGGGAUCUGAGGCAGCGAGGAGGCCAUAAGGCCAGUAAUAUUUUACUUUCAAUCAUGAUAACUAAACGUUUCGUGAUCAUUUUGGUCUCUAAACUACUUUGAUUUAGGGAAUAGAGUGUUCUGGAUAGCAGACAAAUGUCUACCAUAUACCCUAGUCAAUAUUAAGGUAUUAAUAAUUAAUGUUAAGGUAUUGAUUCUUUCUUGUACAUUAAGAAAUAGACAUUCUUUUUAUAGUCUUUUGUGAGUUUGGUUAGUUUGCAUUAAUCUCCCAGUGGUUAAUUACCUUGGUCUAACUGCUUCAAAUCUAGUUCCUGAACCUUAAUAAUUGAGAACCAGACCUGAGGUCUAGUUAUGUCUUUGAAUAGAAUUAUUUGGUCAAUUCAAGAUGUGAGUCUUAAUGUAGCAAUUAGCUCUAUCCUUAUCUGUGACCAAGUUGUGAGAAACCUUGUCCCAUUUUGGUACCUCUAUAGGCUAUAAGAGACUCUGAUGAACUUCUUUUGUAUGGGGGUAGAUUCAAUUUUGUUGGGCCUGAGGCUCAAAAACAAAAGCGCAAAACUAUUUUACUUUUGCAAUUUUAUAAUCAUAUGCAACCAUAUAACCUUUUAAGGCCCCUUCAUGCAAGAGGCCUAGAAGCUUAAACGGUCCGUUCAUACCUCACAGGGAACCAAAGGAUAAAGACUGAAAAUACUGGAUUUGGCAAACAAGUGAUGCUUUAGAAAACAAUUUCAGCCAGAUGCCGUGGCUUAUGCCUGUAAUCCCAGCACUUUGGGAGGCCGAGGUGGGCGGAUCACCUGAGGUCAGGAGUUCAAGACCAGCCAGGCCAACAUGGUGAAACCCCGUCUCUACUAAAACUACAAAAAUUAGCUGGGCAUGGUUGUGGGCGCCUGUAAUCUCAGCUACUUGGGAGGCUGAGGUAGAAUUGCUUGAUUCCCCGAGAGGCUGAGGUUGCAGUGAACCAAGUGCACCACUGCACACCAGCCUGGGUGACACAGUGAGACUCUGUCUCAAAAAAAUAAAAA
ensembl:lncRNA